CCACCCUCGCCAGGCUGCUCCCUGGCUGCUUUAGAUCCAGCACAUAAGCCACCUGGAGGCCUGGCUCGCGGUGCUGCCCGAUACCUUUAUUUGCACCAGUUUUCAAGAUUGUCAUAGUGGCCAAACCUGACGGAUUGCCGGCCUGAAAUAGCUGGAUGCGAUCACAGCUGAAAUAUUCCUUUGGGUGUAUGGAUGCCUGUUUGUGUCCUAAUUUUUAAAUUGCUAAGUUCAGCCUGCAAGCUGUUUUCAGGAGCGCUCUCUGGUAUUUCCUGUUCCUGAGGUGAAAUCUUUGUCUUGAUACUCUUCAAGUAAAGAAAUGAAUACUGCCAAGAAGAGACAAAGGCACCAGUUAGACACUGAGGAAAUCUCUAAAAGAGCUCUGCCUUGUGUGGCUGGGAGGGGACUGGCAGCAGCAGGAACACCGAAGGAAGCAGCAUUGCAGAAGAGGCAUGACUGUCCCAUAAGUGAUGCUGUAGGUGUGUAAGAAAUACAGGGCAGAAGGAGCAAGAGCAACUGGUCCUGCUGCAAACACCGGACUGUGCUAUCAGACUGGUAAUGUGGGCACCAGGGUCAGAAUAAAAGGUUUCUCCAGUGAAAAUGGAAAUUGUUAGAGAGGCUGAAGUUCAGUUGGCCAGUGGGAUCGA